rnacentral:rRNA from 1 species
UACGAAGGGGGCUAGCGUUGCUCGGAAUCACUGGGCGUAAAGGGUGCGUAGGCGGGUUUUAAGUCAGGGGUGAAAUCCUGGAGCUCAACUCCAGAACUGCCUUUGAUACUGAAGAUCUUGAGUCCGGGAGAGGUGAGUGGAACUGCGAGUGUAGAGGUGAAAUUCGUAGAUAUUCGCAAGAACACCAGUGGCGAAGGCGGCUCACUGGCCCGGGUACUGACGCUGAGGCACGAAAGCGUGGGGGAGCAAACAGGG